GAUGAACGCUGACAGAAUGCUUAACACAUGCAAGUCAACUUGAACUUCGGUUUGGGUGGCGGACGGGUGAGUAACGCGUAAAGAACUUACCUCACAGAUAGGGACAACAUUUGGAAACGAAUGCUAAUACCUAAUAUUAUGAUUUUAGGGCAUCCUAGGAUUAUGAAAGCUAUAUACGCUGUGAGAGAGCUUUGCGUCCCAUUAGCUAGUUGGAGAGGUAACGGCUCACCAAGGCGAUGAUGGGUAGCCGGCCUGAGAGGGUGAUCGGCCACAAGGGGACUGAGACACGGCCCUUACUCCUACGGGAGGCAGCAGUGGGGAAUAUUGGACAAUGGACCAAGAGUCUGAUCCAGCAAUUCUGUGUGCACGAUGAAGUUUUUCGGAAUGUAAAGUGCUUUCAGUNGGGAAGAAAAAAANGA
rnacentral:rRNA from 1 species